CCUCUCUUCAUUAUCUUCCUUCUCUUUUCCCUUCUUCCUCUUGUUCAGCACACUCUUUCUGCACUUGAACAUGAAGGGAUGAAUCUUCCUCCAUGGUCAGGAAAAGGUUGGCCUAUGAAGGUUACAUGGUACAUUUGAAACUUUGGGGGCCCGUUUUACAGGUAGAAUUAUGUGAUGUCAUCAGGAUCUCCCAGGCUCAUUGUCUGGAAUCUUCUGAGUCAUUUGAGCACAGAUACUUGGUUGAGAUGUUAAAAUAGAAAGGAUUUGGCAAAGGAAAAUCAUUGCUUAUUAGAGCUAAAGGAAUACCUACCUACUUGAUGUGGCCACUGAUGACAGUAGUCUCAGGAGAGUUGACAAGUUACUCUCAUCUCAUUCCCUCACCCAGGGGGAAUCAAUCAGCUCUCCCUUCCAGACACUUCACCAGGACCAGAAAGAUGGAAGCUGGUCCAACAACUUCAGUCAAGAAACGAGCUUCCCAAGAGAACUGGCAUGAAUCUGACUCAGAAGAAAGGGAGGGAAAGAAAAAGAAGAUCUAUGAAUGGACUGUAACCGAAGUGGGAGAUACUUGGAUUAAGAUGAAGCAUACAAAAGAAGCUUCCUUCAGCUCCAAAAACCUUGCUGCCCUCUCCCAACUUCUGAAGGAUCCAGUCAUUAAAAAAUUCCUUGCGACUGAUAUGAAAUGCUAUUCCACUAAUAAGGUAAGUAUAGUCCCCAGGGUUAAACCAUUAUGGGAAAAUAUAAAGCAUAGAAGAGUGUCUCAUGGGUAGCUUCGAGCCCUCGUAAGGAGAAUUAGUAAUAGAACGUGGCAAAUUAGAAUUCACUGGUUUCUCUCAAGAUGGUGCAACCAAGAGAAAGCAAAGAGGGACAUGGGGUUAGAAGUUGACCCUAGGAUGGCAGGCACUUACUUCCAGACCAUUUGUACUUCCUCUAUCAUUGUUCCCAAACCUUUGCUUUUUUUUUUUAAACCCUUACCUUCUGUCUUGGAGUCAAUACUGUGUAUUGGCUCCAAGGCAGAAGAGUGGUAAGGGCUAGGCAAUGGGGGUCAAGUGACUUGCCCAGGGUCACACAGCUAGGAAGUGGCUGAGGCCGGAUUUGAACCUAGGACCUCCCGUCUCUAGGCCUGGCUCUCAAUCCACUGAGCGACCUAGCUGCCCCCAGCCAAACCUUUGCUUUUUACUUCACCUGGUACCCCCACUCAACCUCCCUGAUUGUUCUUGCAC
rnacentral:lncRNA from 1 species